rnacentral:rRNA from 1 species
UACGGGGGGCAAGCGUUGUUCGGAAUUACUGGGCGUAAAGGCUCGUAGGCGGCCAACUAAGUCAACGUGAAAUCCCUCGGCUUAACCGGGAACUGCGUCUGAUACUGGAUGGCUUGAGUUUGGAGAGGGAUGCGGAAUUCCAGGUGUAGCGGUGAAAUGCGUAGAUAUCUGGAGGAACACCGGUGGCGAAGGCGGCCAUCCUGGACCAAUAUUGACGCUGAGGAGCGAAAGCCA